rnacentral:lncRNA from 10 species
CAGGAAAAGAAAACUUUGAGAGGGAGGUAGACCCUAAAAGCAAUUUUACCACUGUCAAGUCUCAGCCCUUUCACUCCUACAAACUAGGAGGUCUUGCUUUUUCCUUCCCACUCAUACAGUUUUAAAACAUCUGAUGUCAUUUGAAAAUCUGAUAUUUCUAUGCUUUGCAAUAGCAGGAACCUUCAGAAUCAUUUAAAUUAUUGCUGCUACCCUUACAAUUUUUUUGGCAGUGUGUAUCUGGUAAUUACAAUCUUCUUUCCUCCACCAUGGUAAGUAAUAGUUUCUUAUGUUGCUUUACAUAGUAGAAAACACGAUGGAACUUGGCAGAGGCUGAAGAGUAAAUAGAUUUAAACCAAUUUAAAAAAUAAUUAUGUUAACAUUUGAAAACUCAGUACUUGCAAGGGACUAUCUAGAUAGGGAUAAUUUGUCCUAGGUGUCUUAACUGUGAAGCAGCUUAAAUGCCCCACAAAAAUUGCUCUAGUUCUGCCAUCAGUGUUUCUGUGAGCAUUCUUAAAGCUUUCUUUUUAGCCACAAGAAAUAACUGAAAGCUGAUGUUUUUAACUAUAAGCAUUUUUUGUUGUUUUUAACUAAAAAUAGAAGUGAUAGAACUGUUCUCUGAACAUCUGGGGACAGCAGAGUUCUUAAUUGUCUUGAGUACUUAAGAAUAUAUCUUGAAUUGUUUCACAAAAUUGACUAGGACAUAAUGCUAAAAAUUCAGACUGUUUUAGAAUCUUGUGUUCAUAUGAGUUAAAGAAAAAUUCAAAUAGUAACUGUCUUUGAAUAUAUAAGGGAAAUUUUACAAUAAAAAUUUUCAAAAUUAUUAUUCAAGAUUUAUACUUAGAUAUAUUACGUUGAGUUUAUUUUCUGGAAUCAGCUUGCCAAAAGAGGAAAAGUUUAUUUUUAGUGAAGGUAAAAAUUGAUUUUAAUUAUUUGGUAGCAACCCUUACUAGUAGAAUAAGAGCUGAAGUACCAAUAUUAGUGAUUUUCACUGUUCUGAACCAAGCCUGGUUGCAUGGUGGUUUUUAGGACAACAGUGAAGAGCUUUAAUUUUUAUGUUUUGGGAAAUAGCUUGUGAGAGGUAAGAAGGAUUGCAAAGUUUUUCCAAAAUAUUUUAUGAAGUUAGUGAAGUCAGUUGAAAUGUGUAUUUAAACAUUUGAAGGGAUACAGUUAACAUUUUUUUAAUGAGAGGAAACCAUUGUUUCCGUUUCCAAGCAGUUAUUAAUUUACAUUUUCUCAAAUUAUAAGUAGCUUCCUGCUUCUCCAAAAGUGAGGCUUAAGAGGAUGGCUAUUUCAUCAUAAAUUAGAAAAACGACUACAAAUAUGAAAUGGUUAAUUUUUUGGUACGGCUUUUACCCAGGGAGUAUCUGUAGUUGAGCCACUGGCUCUAUAACAUUGUUAGUUCUUUGUAUUUUCCCAAUGGAGGUUUUACCUCAUGGCCAUAAAAAUAAAAGAGGGUUGAAUGUGAAAAUAACUGCAUUUUGAACAUCUCAGACCCUCCACUCAUAAAAAUUACUUAAUGUUCCUCUUCCUUGAAUUACAUAUUUUCCAUUGUAAUAAAUUCCUGUUUUGAAAACCAAGGAAAGGAACAUUUUUUGAAGAAAGCAGUUCAGUGGCCUCUUUAACAGGUUUAUCAAGAGGUUGAUAUGUAGGGAUAGGUUGUGGGGGAGAAGAGGGUGCUAUGAAAUGUAAAAUUAAGGAUGUAAAAAUAACAUUAGGGAUGCCACAAAAGGUGAAAUAUAAACCAUGAUCAUUUGAGACAAGGGAAAAACAGGGCUUUGAAAAUGCCUGUCAUGUGAUAGGAGGCAUCUGUAAGGGAGAGACUGAAAUGGCUCCCAGGGGUAGUAUAUCCAUCCUCUUCCCGAUAUACCUGUGCCAUACAAAUAAUGACCCUCAACACGUUAAAAUGUGGUUUACAUUAAGGGUCAUCAGAGUUUAGGCCUAAUUUCUGCAAUUCAGGUAUUCAUCAUUACCUUGCAAACUUACUGUACCAACAUAAAAAGCAUUUUGCUGGUGUGGCGGGGAGAAUCAGGUUAAAUUAAGUAGAAGCAUUUUGGAAACUUUGCCUAGUACUUCAUGACUUUUGAAAAUUAUAAGUGAAAACAGAGAUAAGUCCUAUUCUUCGCUCACAUUAUUUCCCACAGGCCUUUCCAGAUCCUUAUAGCUAAAAAUUUCCCUUUUGCCAUUAACUGUCAUUAAAAAAAAAAAAAAAGAUUACAGUCUUUAUGUAUAAAACCGCUGCCCUUUAUAACAUUUUAUGUGACUUGUUUGCUUCACUAGAUUGUAAGCCUUUGGAGGUCAGAAAAAAAUGCAUCUAAAUGUAUCUGCCACCACAUCUAGCACAGUGCCUUACACUUAUUUGCUAUUCAAUAAAUAUAUUCAUUAAAAUAAUGGACAUAUUAAAAGGUUAUUUCCUUAGAUGAGGUCCGUAGUGACAGAAAUUGAAUUUCAGAUGGGAAAGAAGUCUUUUAAUUGGAUGUUGUAGUGAUGUCUGUUUUGAACAGAACUCAAAACAUUUUGUCUUUAAAAUAUACUGGCUCUUGGUGAAAAGAGUAAUUUCAAAAUAAGGCUUUAAAAGGAAGCAAAAGUUUUAAACAAAAGGCAACAUAAUUUACCAGGCAGGUUAAUAACUUACAUUAUUUGUCAUGAGAUUAGUUUUUUAAAAGGUAAUUUACAAAAGUGUAAAGCACUCAAGUCCAUAGGAGGCACUUGAUACAUGUAGAUCCACUCAACAUACACCUAUUUUAGUAUUAACAGAUAAAGAUACUUAAAAACUGCCAAAGUGAAAUUAAUAAAUGUUUAAAUAUGUACCUAGAAAUAUUAAAAAAUGGUAAGCUUUCCAAUGAUGUUACACUGUAGUCUUUUAAAUGGUUUAGUCACAAACAGAAAAGUGUAUUUGUGAUGUUUAGACAAUAAUAGCUAAUCGUGAGGAUCAGUGAAAUUGUU